rnacentral:rRNA from 1 species
UUAAGCGACUAAGCGUACACGGUGGAUGCCCUGGCAGUCAGAGGCGAUGAAGGACGUGCUAAUCUGCGAAAAGCGUCGGUAAGGUGAUAUGAACCGUUAUAGCCGGCGAUGUCCGAAUGGGGAAACCCAGUGUGAUUCGUCACACUAUCGUUAACUGAAUACAUAGGUUAACGAGGCGAACCGGGGGAACUGAAACAUCUAAGUACCCCGAGGAAAAGAAAUCAACCGAGAUUCCCCCAGUAGCGGCGAGCGAACGGGGAGCAGCCCAGAGUCUGAAUCAGCUUGUGUGUUAGUGGAACGGUCUGGAAAGUCCGACGGUACAGGGUGAUAGUCCCGUACACCAAAAUGCACAGGCUGUGAACUCGAAGAGUAGGGCGGGACACGUGGUAUCCUGUCUGAAUAUGGGGGGACCAUCCUCCAAGGCUAAAUACUCCUGACUGACCGAUAGUGAACCAGUACCGUGAGGGAAAGGCGAAAAGAACCCCGGCGAGGGGAGUGAAAAAGAACCUGAAACCGUGUACGUACAAGCAGUGGGAGCACCUUCGGGUGUGACUGCGUACCUUUUGUAUAAUGGGUCAGCGACUUAUAUUCUGUAGCAAGGUUAACCGUAUAGGGGAGCCGCAGGGAAACCGAGUCUUAACUGGGCGUUAAGUUGCAGGGUAUAGACCCGAAACCCGGUGAUCUAGCCAUGGGCAGGUUGAAGGUUGGGUAACACUAACUGGAGGACCGAACCGACUAAUGUUGAAAAAUUAGCGGAUGACUUGUGGCUGGGGGUGAAAGGCCAAUCAAACCGGGAGAUAGCUGGUUCUCCCCGAAAGCUAUUUAGGUAGCGCCUCGUGAAUUCAUCUUCGGGGGUAGAGCACUGUUUCGGCUAGGGGGUCAUCCCGACUUACCAACCCGAUGCAAACUACGAAUACCGAAGAAUGUUAUCACGGGAGACACACGGCGGGUGCUAACGUCCGUCGUGAAGAGGGAAACAACCCAGACCGCCAGCUAAGGUCCCAAAGUCAUGGUUAAGUGGGAAACGAUGUGGGAAGGCACAGACAGCCAGGAUGUUGGCUUAGAAGCAGCCAUCAUUUAAAGAAAGCGUAAUAGCUCACUGGUCGAGUCGGCCUGCGCGGAAGAUGUAACGGGGCUAAACCAUGCACCGAAGCUGCGGCAGCGACACUAUGUGUUGUUGGGUAGGGGAGCGUUCUGUAAGCCUGCGAAGGUGACCUGUGAGGGUUGCUGGAGGUAUCAGAAGUGCGAAUGCUGACAUAAGUAACGAUAAAGCGGGUGAAAAGCCCGCUCGCCGGAAGACCAAGGGUUCCUGUCCAACGUUAAUCGGGGCAGGGUGAGUCGACCCCUAAGGCGAGGCCGAAAGGCGUAGUCGAUGGGAAACAGGUUAAUAUUCCUGUACUUGGUGUUACUGCGAAGGGGGGACGGAGAAGGCUAUGUUAGCCGGGCGACGGUUGUCCCGGUUUAAGCAUGUAGGCUGGUUAUCCAGGCAAAUCCGGAUAAUCAAGGCUGAGGUGUGAUGACGAGGCACUACGGUGCUGAAGUAACAAAUGCCCUGCUUCCAGGAAAAGCCUCUAAGCAUCAGGUAACAUCAAAUCGUACCCCAAACCGACACAGGUGGUCAGGUAGAGAAUACCAAGGCGCUUGAGAGAACUCGGGUGAAGGAACUAGGCAAAAUGGUGCCGUAACUUCGGGAGAAGGCACGCUGGUGUGUAGGUGAAGCCCCUGCGGGUGGAGCUGAGACCAGUCGAAGAUACCAGCUGGCUGCAACUGUUUAUUAAAAACACAGCACUGUGCAAACACGAAAGUGGACGUAUACGGUGUGACGCCUGCCCGGUGCCGGAAGGUUAAUUGAUGGGGUUAUCCGUAAGGAGAAGCUCUUGAUCGAAGCCCCGGUAAACGGCGGCCGUAACUAUAACGGUCCUAAGGUAGCGAAAUUCCUUGUCGGGUAAGUUCCGACCUGCACGAAUGGCGUAAUGAUGGCCAGGCUGUCUCCACCCGAGACUCAGUGAAAUUGAACUCGCUGUGAAGAUGCAGUGUACCCGCGGCAAGACGGAAAGACCCCGUGAACCUUUACUAUAGCUUGACACUGAACAUUGAGCCUUGAUGUGUAGGAUAGGUGGGAGGCUUUGAAGCGUGGACGCCAGUCUGCGUGGAGCCAACCUUGAAAUACCACCCUUUAAUGUUUGAUGUUCUAACGUUGGCCCCUGACCGGGGUUGCGGACAGUGUCUGGUGGGUAGUUUGACUGGGGCGGUCUCCUCCCAAAGCGUAACGGAGGAGCACGAAGGUUAGCUAAUCCUGGUCGGACAUCAGGAGGUUAGUGUAAUGGCAUAAGCUAGCUUGACUGCGAGCGUGACGGCGCGAGCAGGUGCGAAAGCAGGUCAUAGUGAUCCGGUGGUUCUGAAUGGAAGGGCCAUCGCUCAACGGAUAAAAGGUACUCCGGGGAUAACAGGCUGAUACCGCCCAAGAGUUCAUAUCGACGGCGGUGUUUGGCACCUCGAUGUCGGCUCAUCACAUCCUGGGGCUGAAGUAGGUCCCAAGGGUAUGGCUGUUCGCCAUUUAAAGUGGUACGCGAGCUGGGUUUAGAACGUCGUGAGACAGUUCGGUCCCUAUCUGCCGUGGGCGCUGGAGAAUUGAGGGGGGCUGCUCCUAGUACGAGAGGACCGGAGUGGACGCAUCACUGGUGUUCGGGUUGUCAUGCCAAUGGCACUGCCCGGUAGCUAAAUGCGGAAGAGAUAAGUGCUGAAAGCAUCUAAGCACGAAACUUGCCCCGAGAUGAGUUCUCCCUGAGACUUUAAGUCUCCUGAAGGAACGUUGAAGACGACGACGUUGAUAGGCCGGGUGUGUAAGCGCAGCGAUGCGUUGAGCUAACCGGUACUAAUGAACCGUGAGGCUUAACCUU